rnacentral:rRNA from 1 species
AUUGAACGCUGGCGGCACGCUUAACACAUGCAAGUCGAGCGGUAACAUGGUUUGUAGCAAUACAAACCGAUGACGAGCGGCGGACGGGUGAGUAACACGUAGGAACUUGCCCAAUAGAGGGGGACAACCAAGGGAAACUUUGGCUAAUACCGCAUAUACUCGAGAGAGGAAAGCUGCCGCAAGGUGGCGCUAUUGGAGAGGCCUGCGUCUGAUUAGCUAGUUGGUGAGGUAAAGGCUCACCAAGGCGAUGAUCAGUAACUGGUCUGAGAGGACGACCAGUCACACUGGGACUGAGACACGGCCCAGACUCCUACGGGAGGCAGCAGUGGGGAAUCUUGGACAAUGGGGGCAACCCUGAUCCAGCGAUGCCGCGUGAGUGAAGAAGGCCUUCGGGUCGUAAAGCUCUUUAGGUCGGGAGGAAGGUUGGUAGUUUAAGAGAUAACCAAUUUGACUGUACCGACAGAAUAAGCACCGGCAAACUCUGUGCCAGCAGCCGCAGUAA